rnacentral:lncRNA from 1 species
GGGGCAGUUUUGGGGGCAAUAGGGGCAGUUUUGGGGUCCCUGGCUGGCAGGGGGGCAGUAGGGACAGUCUGGGGGGCAGCUGGGGGGUCUCCAUGUUGGGGGUCCCUGGAGGGGGCAGGGGCACUGCGGGGGUCCUGGGGUGUCCCAAUGGGGUCGGUUUGGGGGUCCCUAUGGGUCCCUAUAGGGGAGGGUCUGGUCAUUCUGGGGUCUUGGGAUCUUUGGGGGUCCCUGUGCUCAGUUUGGGGGUCCUGGUCUGUAUAAUGGUCUGUGGGGUCACUUUGGGGGUCUACAUGACCAGAAUGGGGGUCUUGGGCUCCAUAGGGGUCUAUGGGAUCAGUACGGGGGUCACCAAACCUAUAGGGAUUUAUGGGAUCAGGGUGGGGGUCCCGGUCUCUAUAGGGCUCUAUGGGGUCAGGAUGGGGGUCCCGGUCUCUAUAGGGCUCUAUGGGAUCAGGGUGGGGGUCACCGGUCUCUAUAGGGCUCUAUGGGAUCAGGGUGGGGGUCCCGGUCUCUAUAGGGCUCUAUGGAUCAGGGUGGGGGUCCUGGUCUCUAUAGGGCUUUAUGGGAUCAGGGUGGGGGUCCCUAAACCCGUAGGGCUCCCUGUUGUCAGUCUCGGGGUCCUGGGCUCUAUAGGGUUCAGGAGGAUCAUUAUGGGGGUCCAGGGCUCUAUGGGUAUCUAUGGGGUUGCUCUGGGGGUCUCCAAACCUAUAGGGGUCUGCAGCCUCCACCUGGGGGUCCUCAUUCCCAUAGGGCUCAGCCCCAUACGAGUCCUCAGCCCCAUAGGGGUCCCCGUGGGGGUCCCACUGCCCUCCCAAGGCUUCAGUCUCCCCCUCGGCCUGAGAUUCCCCCCCCUCAUAGGGGUCCUCAGCCCCAUAGGGGUCCUCAGCCCCAUAGGGGUCUGCAGCUGAGUCCCCAUAGGACACCCAGGGCCGGGUCUGGGGGUCCCUCCCCCUGCGGAGGCUGCCGGGCUCGGGGUCCUCUGCCCCAUAGGGACCCGAGUGGGGCACGUAGGACCCCCAGGGCUCCCUAUGGGGCUCCUCGUCCCUAUAGGGGUCUGUAUAUGGGUCCCCAUAGGUGUCCGGCUCCCAGGGCUCCACGUCAGACCCCGCAGCCCCAUAGCGGGGGGGAGACUCCCCAUAGGCGUCCCCAUAAGCAUCGGGGUCCCCAUAGGGGUCCAUAUAGGGGUCCCCAUAGGGGCUGGGGUCCCACCCUUCGGGGUCUCCGUUGCUAUAGGGGCCGGUGGGGGGGGGCGGGGGGGGAGGGUGCGAACCCGCGUGUGAAUCCUCGUGUGAAUCCUCGUGUGAAUCCUCGUGUGAAUCCUCGUGCGAAUCCUCGUGCAAA